AUCAACUUUCGAUGGUAGGAUAGAGGCCUACCAUGGUGGUAACGGGUAACGGGGUGUUAGGGCACGACACCGGAGAGGGAGCCUGAGAAACGGCUACCACAUCCAAGGAUGGCAGCAGGCGCGCAAAUUACCCAAUCCCGACACGGGGAGGUAGUGACAAUAAAUAACAAUACGGGGUUCUUUAGGAUUUCGUAAUUGGAAUGAGUACAAUUUAAAUCUCUUAACGAGGAACAAUUGGAGGGCAAGUCUGGUGCCAGCAGCCGCGGUAAUUCCAGCUCCAAUAGCGUAUAUUAAAGUUGCUGCAGUUAAAAAGCUCGUAGUUGAAUUUCGGGACCAAUAUGUCGGUCGUGCCUCGGUACGUACUGGCAUCGUUGGUUUCUCCCUUCUGACGAACCAUGAUGUCAUUUAUUUGGUGUCGUGGGGAAUCAGGACUGUUACUUUGAAAAAAUUAGAGUGUUUAAAGCAGGCUCACGCUUGAAUACAUUAGCAUGGAAUAAUGAAAUAGGACGUUUGAUUCUAUUUUGUUGGUUUCUAGGAUCGACGUAAUGAUUAAUAGGGAUAGUUGGGGGCAUUAGUAUUCAAUUGUCAGAGGUGAAAUUCUUGGAUUUAUUGAAGACUAACUACUGCGAAAGCAUUUGCCAAGGAUGUUUUCAUUAAUCAAGAACGAAAGUUAGGGGAUCGAAGACGAUCAGAUACCGUCGUAGUCUUAACCAUAAACUAUGCCGACUAGGGAUCGGAUGAUGUUAAUUUUUUAAUGACUCAUUCGGCGCCUUACGGGAAACCAAAGUGUUUGGGUUC
rnacentral:rRNA from 1 species